GGCCAAUGAUGAAAAAAAUAGUUUUUUUGUGUAAUGUAUGAGUUUUAAUGAUUACAUAUUACCUCUACUGCCUUCCUUCUGAGGCC